rnacentral:lncRNA from 1 species
AGGGGAAAGGCUAGGAUGAAGGUUGCAUUGGAGCAUCAUUGAGAGAAACAAUAUAAAUCAAUAGAUCUAACUUAGUUACAAUGACAAACUAACUUUAAGUUUAGAGGUCCAAUGAGAGUGCAACAUAUCGAUUUCUCUCAUUUAGAGAUCAUGACUUGAAAGAGAAAGUUUUGGGCUUGAGACUUCCGUUCGUCCUCCUGUAGAAGGUAGA